CAGCUGGGGGUGCCCGCAAAGUAUGGGGCUGAGACACACCCUUUGAACCUGAUCCAGUCUGUACUGGCGUAGGAAAGC
rnacentral:ncRNA from 1 species